ACCACAACAACAAACAAACAA
rnacentral:misc_RNA from 1 species